CGGACGGGUGAGUAAUGUCUGGGAAACUGCCUGAUGGAGGGGGAUAACUACUGGAAACGGUAGCUAAUACCGCAUAACGUCGCAAGACCAAAGAGGGGGACCUUAGGGCCUCUUGCCAUCGGAUGUGCCCAGAUGGGAUUAGCUAGUAGGUGGGGUAACGGCUCACCUAGGCGACGAUCCCUAGCUGGUCUGAGAGGAUGACCAGCCACACUGGGACUGAGACACGGCCCAG
rnacentral:rRNA from 1 species